rnacentral:rRNA from 1 species
CCUACGGGAGGCAGCAGUGAGGAAUAUUGGACAAUGGGCGCAAGCCUGAUCCAGCCAUGCCGCGUGCAGGAUGACGGUCCUAUGGAUUGUAAACUGCUUUUGUACAGGAAGAAACACUGGUUCGUGAACCAGCUUGACGGUACUGUAAGAAUAAGGAUCGGCUAACUCCGUGCCAGCAGCCGCGGUAAUACGGAGGAUCCAAGCGUUAUCCGGAAUCAUUGGGUUUAAAGGGUCCGUAGGCGGUUUAAUAAGUCAGUGGUGAAAGCCCAUCGCUCAACGGUGGAACGGCCAUUGAUACUGUUAGACUUGAAUUAUUAGGAAGUAACUAGAAUAUGUAGUGUAGCGGUGAAAUGCUUAGAGAUUACAUGGAAUACCAAUUGCGAAGGCAGGUUACUACUAAUUGAUUGACGCUGAUGGACGAAAGCGUGGGUAGCGAACAGGAUUAGAUACCCUGGUAGUCCACGCCGUAAACGAUGGAUACUAGCUGUUGGAAGCAAUUUCAGUGGCUAAGCGAAAGUGAUAAGUAUCCCACCUGGGGAGCACGUUCGCAAGAAUGAAACUUAAAGGAAUUGACGGCGNGAGAGAGACGAGACGACGACGAGGGAGGAGG